rnacentral:misc_RNA from 1 species
UACGGAGGGUGCAAGCGUUGUCCGGAAUUAUUGGGCGUAAAGCGCGCGCAGGCGGUCUCGUAAGUCUGAUGUGAAAGCCCACGGCUCAACCGUGGAGGGUCAUUGGAAACUGGGGAACUUGAGUGCAGAAGAGGAAAGUGGAAUUCCAUGUGUAGCGGUGAAAUGCGUAGAGAUGUGGAGGAACACCAGUGGCGAAGGCGACUUUCUGGUCUGUAAUUGACGCUGAGGCUCGAAAGCGUGGGGAGCGAACAGG